CCUACGGGAGGCUGCAGUGGGGAAUUUUGCGCAAUGCUCGUAAGAGUGACGCAGCGACGCCGCGUGAAUGACGAAGGCCUUCGGGUCGUAAAGUUCUUUCGACAGGGAAGAAAAUGCCUAUAAGUAACUGUGUAUGUAUUGACGGUACCUGUAUAAGCAGCCCCGGCUAACUCCGUGCCAGCAGCCGCGGUAAUACGGAGGGGGCGAGCGUUGUUCGGAGGGACUGGGCGUAAAGAGCACGUAGGCGGUGUUGUAAGUCAUUAGUCAAAGACUAGAGCUAAACUUUAGUAAGGCUAGUGAUACAAUAAUACUAGAGUAUCAGAGAGGAUUGCAGAAUUCCUGGUGUAGCGGUGAAAUGCGUAGAUAUCAGGAGGAAUACCGUUAGCGAAGGCGGCAAUCUGGCUGGAAACUGACGCUGAGGUGCGAAAGCGUGGGUAGCAAACAGGAUUAGAUACCCUGGUAGUC
rnacentral:rRNA from 1 species